AUACGUAGGGGGCAAGCGUUAUCCGGAUUUACUGGGUGUAAAGGGAGCGUAGACGGCGAUGCAAGUCUGAAGUGAAAGCCCGGGGCUCAACCCCGCGGACUGCUUUGGAAACUGUGUUGCUGGAGUGCAGGAGAGGUGAGUGGAAUUCCUAGUGUAGCGGUGAAAUGCGUAGAUAUUAGGAGGAACACCAGUGGCGAAGGCGACUCUCGGGACUGUAACUGACGUUGAGGCGCGAAAGCGUGGGGAGCAAACAGGAGUAGAUCCCCUGGUAGUCCACGCCGUAAACGAGGAAUGCUAGGUGUCGGGGGGCAAAGCCCUGCGGUGCCGCCGCUAACGCAUUAAGCAUUCCACCUGGGGAGUACGUUCGCAAGAAUGAAACUCAAAGGAAUUGACGGGG
rnacentral:rRNA from 1 species